rnacentral:ncRNA from 1 species
AAAAGACUUAGUCCUAACCUUACUGUUGGUUUUUGCUAGACAUAUACAUGCAAGUAUCCGCGCCCCAGUGUAGAUGCCCUAGGCACCUUUAAACCAAGUCAAUAGGAGCGGGUAUCAGGCACACCCCCACCAAAGGGUAGCCCAAAACGCCUUGCACUUGCCACACCCCCACGGGUACUCAGCAGUAGUUAAUAUUAAGCAAUGAGUGUAAACUUGACUUAGUCAUAGCAAUUAAGGGACGGUAAAUCCUGUGCCAGCCACCGCGGUCAUACAGGAGGCCCAAAUCAACUUUAUAACGGCGUAAAGCGUGGUUACAUGAUAUCCAAGUAACUAAGAUAGAAAAGCAACUGAGCUGUAAUAAGCACAAGAUGCCAACAAAAACCACCUACCAAAGAAGAUCUUAGACCAACGAUUAAUUGAAAUCCACGAAAGCCAGGGCCCAAACUGGGAUUAGAUACCCCACUAUGCCUGGCCCUAAAUCUUGGUGCUUUAUACUACCUAAGCGCCCGCCCGAGAACUACGAGCACAAACGCUUAAAACUCUAAGGACUUGGCGGUGUUCCAAACCCACCUAGAGGAGCCUGUUCUGUAAUCGAUGAUCCACGAUACACCUAACCAUUUCUCGCAGCAUCAGCCUAUAUACCGCCGUCGCCAGCCCACCCCCACUGAUGGUGAAACAGUGAGCGCAAUAGUCAUACACCACUAACAAGACAGGUCAAGGUAUAGCCUAUGGAAUGGAAGCAAUGGGCUACAUUCUCUAAAUUAGAGCAUUACGGCAAAAGGGUGUGAAAUCGCCCUUAGAAGGCGGAUUUAGCAGUAAAGUGGGAUAAUCAAGCCCUCUUUAAGCCGGCUCUGGAACACGUACAUACCGCCCGUCACCCUCCUCGAAAGCUUUCUUUUCCCCCCAUAAAUUAAUAAGCCAUUAAGCGAAAGACGAGGCAAGUCGUAACAAGGUAAGUGUACCGGAAGGUGCACUUAGGACACC